UACGUAGGGGGCUAGCGUUGUCCGGAAUCAUUGGGCGUAAAGCGCGCGUAGGCGGCCCGGUAAGUCCGCUGUAAAAGUCCAGGGCUCAACCCCGGAUCGGCCGUGCGGACUGGGGAGCUCGAGUUCUGUAGAGGCGGGUGGAAUUCCGGGUGUAGCGGUGGAAUGCGUAGAGAUCCGGAAGAACACCGGUGGCGAAGGCGGCCCGCUGGGCAGAGACGUGACGCUGAUGCGCGACAGCGUGGGGAGCAAACAGGAUUAGAAACCCGUG
rnacentral:rRNA from 1 species